rnacentral:rRNA from 1 species
CUCGUAGGCGGACUGUCACGUCUGCUGUGAAAAGCUGGGGCUUAACCCUGGCCUUGCAGUGGAUACGGGCAGACUAGAGGUAGGUAGGGGAGAAUGGAAUUCCCGGUGUAGCGGUGAAAUGCGCAGAUAUCGGGAGGAACACCGGUGGCGAAGGCGGUUCUCUGGGCCUUACCUGACGCUGAGGAGCGAAAGCGUGGGGAGCGAACA